UGGGAACCUUCCCUAUGGUUCGGAAUAGCUCAGGGAAACUCGAGGUAAUACCGGAUAAGCCCUUCGGGGAAAGAUUUAUCGCCAUUGGAUGGGCCCGCGUCGGAUUAGCUAGUUGGUGAGGUAACGGCUCACCAAGGCAACGAUCCGUAGCUGGUCUGAGAGGAUGAUCAGCCACACUGGGACUGAGACACGGCCCAGACUCCUACGGGAGGCAG
rnacentral:rRNA from 1 species